ACGCACGCUGGCGGCGUGCUUAACCCAUGCAAGUCGUACGGUAAGGCCCUUUCGGGGGUACACGAGUGGCGAACGGGUGAGUAACACGUGAGUAACCUGCCCACAACUUUGGGAUAACGCUAGGAAACUGGUGCUAAUACUGGAUAUGUGCUCCUGCUGCAUGGUGGGGGUUGGAAAGCUCCGGCGGUUGUGGAUGGACUCGCGGCCUAUCAGCUUGUUGGUGGGGUAGUGGCCUACCAAGGCGGCGACGGGUAGCCGGCCUGAGAGGGUGACCGGCCACAUUGGGACUGAGAUACGGCCCAGACUCCUACGGGAGGCAGCAGUGGGGAAUAUUGCACAAUGGGCGCAAGCCUGAUGCAGCAACGCCGCGUGCGGGAUGACGGCCUUCGGGUUGUAAACCGCUUUCAGCAGGGACGAAGCUUUUUGUGACGGUACCUGCAGAAGAAGCACCGGCUAACUACGUG
rnacentral:rRNA from 1 species